CUUUAUACCUCCCCCAGCGCUUAAAACAGUGCCUGGCAUAUAGUAAGCGCUUAACAAAUACCAUCAUCACCAUCGGUGACUACCUGGAUCAGCUGGCAAUUCGGUGGCAGAGGAGGAAUCGGAGCCUCAGUUUCCUCGUCUGUAAGGUGAAGAUAAGCAUAUCCUUAUGAAGAUGUGCUUCUUUUACGUAGAUGAUUGAGCCACAGGCAAGAAGACAUGCAGGGGAUGGUGAACCAUUUUGCAGAGUAAGCCCUGCGUUAGCCACACGGCACUUAGAUGAGGUAACUGAGGCACAGAGAAGUGAAGUGACUUGC